rnacentral:lncRNA from 10 species
ACGCAGUCUCGUACACGCCCAACGAGCGCACACACCCGCACUCCAUGCACGCGCGAUGGGCGCACACACUCGCAUCCCUACACGUGCACACACCCGCGCUCCAAUUACCGCGCUAGCGCGCAAAAGAGCCGCAACUUCCGAGUGGGACUCGGCAUGCGGGGGCAGUGCCCGGUACUUCACCAUCAGUCACCUUCGCGUCCGCCUCCUCCCCUGCUGGUUGCACCUCCAGCCGCAGAGAUUUCCGGCUGGGGCACCAGAACUGUCCAGGCCGAAAGAGCUGCUCCUCCGUCACAAAGCGCAGUUGCACACUGUACUGCAGGCGCGCGGGGACCCGGGCCGGAGCCGGGGUCGCAGCCAUGGUCCAAGCGCCUCUGCUCCUGAGCCCUAGCAGUGCCUCCCCCGCGCUGCUCUGGGCACCGAGAAACUGCUGGGGCAAGGGGGAGGGAUUUGGAAGCGCGCACCACCUUCCCCAGCUCCCGUUGCAAGUUCAGUCUUCGACCUCCGAGACGCCCGGUGACUUCUGCUGGCACCUGCUGCCCUCGGCAUCACCUCCCUCAUCCCCCUGGAGGGCACGCUGGAAAGCUGCAACUCCCCACCCUCCGCACAGGAGCGCCCCGUAGACGCGCAGAUGGGCCCAGCCACCCAGCGGGGCGGCAGCCCUGAGCACACAAGUUUGGAGAGCGCGCGAGGCACCUGAAAGUGGUUGGGGUUUGGAAGCAAAAGGGUGACACCUGCUGUUCGCUGGGACCGCUCUGCGGGUGUGGGCGUCGGUUUGGAAACGUCCUUUGCCUGAGCUCUGCUUGAACCUGGGUGCCAGAGACUACCUGGGACAGCUCUACUGACAUCAUCAGCACGUGAUUCUAGCCUCAUUAACUCUAACUUGGGAAAAGUGCUUCUGGAGGAAAGGGAAGAGAUUCUAAGGCUGUGUGCCCCAUUCUUAUUACUCUAUCUCAGUGGGUCUCAAUCCCGGCUACACAUUGGAAUCACUUGGAAAGCUUUAAAAAUAAAACCAAACCUGUGCUUGGGCUCCACCAUAGGUGUUCACCACAGCUGUCAGUAUAAAUCAAUGCAUCUUGGUUCCAUUCUUCAUCAUUUGCUGGUAGCUAAAUUAUGGUAAAUUCAGCUAAGGACAUUUUAAAAUCCUGUUUAAUUUGUCCACAUGCUAAAUAUCCCAGCACACAAGAGAAAAAGCAGCAUGUACUUGGAUAAGACAAACCUAGGGCUUCCUUCGAGUUAAGGAACAGUCUUGGAAGUCUUGUUAUAGUUAAUGGUUUUUUGAGUGGAUGAGCAAAUGAAUGAAUAUACAAAUGGUUAUGCACACAAUUAAGCAAACUACUUGAUCACAUUCCUCCUUUUGGUUUUGCUUCCUCUACCUGUCAGUUGUCCUGAACACCUGCGGAGGUAUUUUGUGCAGGAUGGUUUACCACAUUGGCCUUGGGAGUUGAGGAAGCACCAGCUUAGGUUCUGCCACGUGCUCUUUCCUGACAGCGAGUGCUGCUGGCUGCUGACGCCUAGAAUCUCAGCACGGGAGCUGCCUUUGUCACAGACCUUGGUUCCCCAUUCAAUCGAGCACCUGUGCAGUUGCCCUGUGGUCUAGCAUCCCAGGCUCAGCAGUGACAGCUCCUGAUGGGCUUUCACCUGACUUUCUAAAUCAGUGCUGUUCUAAAUCUGUGCUAAAUCUGGUGACCAGCCAGAGCCUGGUCACCCCUGCAUGGAGUAGGAGUGAAGCUUAUGAAAAGGUGAGGUGCCAAACACACAGAGGAGAACACGGAGGAGGCCAUAUUGUAAUAAAGAGAAAGCAAGCAGUCAGAAGUCACCCCAUAAAACACCUUCCACCCUCUGAGCAUGACCAGCAAAGCGGUUUCUUCUUGCGGACACUGCAUCAGCCCAGCUCAAAGUGCAUUCCAUUCUGAUGAACAUCCACAAACAGUUAUGAAGAAGACCCAAAUGUCAUGAUUUUGUUCCUCUCAGAUAAUAAAAAUAUCAUGAUUCUGAAGGAGUGUUGGUGGGUGUUCAAGUCAAUUCAGUUACAAGCAUACGCCUUACCCCAGUUCUCGUGGCUUCAUCCUGAAUUAGAGUUGUCCCCUGUCAUCUGGAAUAUAUUUCCCAUUGAGACACAUUACUCUCACUCCUUCUACAGCUGUCCCAGGGUCAGUGCUUGAUUUCUCAGAGAUUUUGUUAUGUGAAUCAGUCCAAAGUGUGUUACAGCAAGACUAAGUCAUCAUGAGUCACAUGAUCCACACAUUUCCUAUUUGUAUCUUUGCUUGGUUGAGUGUGUUGUGGGGGGUUAGAAUAUAUUUUGGUCUGCUUUAACCUUUGUGUUCCAAUUCACUCUUAGGUUGAAAGAAAAAUAUAAACUCAAAUUUAAAGAAUAGCCUUCUUGUAAAAGACAAGCUUGGCUAUGACUAAGCAGUUGUUACUUGAUGAGCGAGAGAAGCCCCUUCUUGGGUAAUUGGGGCUGCAGGAAUGGAGUGACCGUUUCCCCAUCAGCAUCCCCUCUGGGUCCUUCAGGUCUGAGCUAGAAGAGCAAGGGCCAGCGUCCCCCAGCACAUAGUUGUCUUGAUGCCACAGACAAAAUAAUUUAAUUCAUGUAUGCGUCCUCAUAAAUCUGACAAAUGUUUAGAAAAUGGAAGCUUUG